GAACGAGAAAGUGGAGCAAUCCAUGAGUACAGUGGCGACCGGGUGAGUAACACGUGACUACCUACCUCCGAAUGGGGAAUAACUCCGGGAAACCGGGGCUAAUACCGCAUAACACCGCAAGGUCAAAGCAGCAAUGCGUUUGGAGAGGGGGUCGCGGCUGAUUAGCUGGUUGGCGGGGUAACGGCCCACCAAGGCGAAGAUCGGUAUCCGGCCUGAGAGGGCGCACGGACACACUGGAACUGAAACACGGUCCAGACUCCUACGGGAGGCAGCAGUGGGGAAUUUUGCGCAAUGGGGGAAACCCUGACGCAGCAACGCCGCGUGGAGGAUGAAGCCCUUUGGGGCGUANACUCCUUUCGACUCGGACGAUAAUGACGGUACGAGUGGAAGAAGCACCGGCUAACUCUGUG
rnacentral:rRNA from 1 species